ACCACANUGGGCCUGAAUAAAGCCCAUGACGAUUGUCACANCANUGAGGAAUAUUGGUCAAUAGCCUAACGGCUGAACCAGCAACUUGGAGGAAUGUAUAGCAAUAGCUACUUGCAUCUUCGUAUACAUGAUGCAAGAUCGACUCUGUCGAAUAAAAUUCUAGGUAGAAUUAUGAUAAUGACAUUGUCUGCCUAUGUGUCUUGACCAAAUUACGUGCCAGCAGUCGCGGUAAUACGUANAAGACUAGUGUUAUUCAUGUUUAAUCGGUUUAAAGGGUACCUAGACGGUAAAUCAAGCCUACAAAUAAAAGAAAUGAAGGGACUAAUUUGCUAGAGUUACUUAUGAGGGGGUAUUAAAGUACUGCUGGUGUAGAGAUGAAAUUCUGUCAUACCUCUUUUCAAUAGAAAAAUAAUGGCACAGGUAUAGGCGAAAGCAUCCCCUUAUGUGAUAACUGACGUUGAGGGACGAAGGCUUUGUGUAGCGAACAGGAUUAGAUACCCCAGUAGUCAAAGCAGAAAAUGAUGAAUGUCAUAGAUUAGAUAUAUAAGUUUAUUCUAUAAAUGAAAGNGUAAGCAUUCCACCUCAAGAGUAAUUUGGCAACAUUGGAACUGAAAUCAUUAGACCGUUUCUGAAACCAGUAGUGAAGUAUGUUGUUUAAUUUGAUGAUCCGCAAAAAACCUUACCACAAUUUGAAUAUUUAUAUCUUUUAUUGUUUUUUUUUAUUUUUCUUCUUAUGACUUUUAUCCAUNAUUUUNUACUCAGUGAAGAAAAGGGAAGAAUACAAGAAAUAAGAAGAAAAAUAAAAAAAAAAUAAUAAGAUAUAUUUACA
rnacentral:rRNA from 1 species